UAUGCAGUGCCAUACUUGACAGUGUUUAAUCUUUUCAUAACUCUCUUCAGACAGACAGGUUCACUCACCUCCUUUUUACAAAAGCUUGUGGUUGCCAAGUUAGCUGUCGCAUCCCCUUUCACAGUGGUUUUCAAUUUCAGUGCCUAAUGCAAACAGAUGUUUUAUUUAAAUUGAGUUUCUGUCAGCAAUACCCAAGCUAAAUACUAUAAAGAAAGGACAGUUUGGGACCACAGAGUAGCUUCAGUUUGAAAUUCUUGUCACAUUUCAAGUAACUGGGGAAGAAACAGAAUUCUGUAUAUCCUGAACAAAGUCUAUAUGAAAUACUAGAGGGCUGCUAGAUACCUUCUCAGCCAAAAUACACAUUGGUUGGGGUUUGGUUUGGUGUUUUUUUUUUGUCUUUAACUUCUGUAAAGUAAUUAGUAAACUUGGGGAAUAAAUUAUUGGUUACUUUUAUCCGAACAUUACAGUUACUCAGUUCUUUUUCCUACAUCUUCCAGGAGUGACCAGCUGGGGAAAGGGUGAGCAAAGCACAGAGUAGACUGAGAUUUCUUUUUUACCAGCUCUCAACCAUGUGGGGCCAUUACCCGGAUCUGGAACUUGUCAGAUUCUUCCACUCUUUAGCUUACUAACUCAGAUUCCAAAAAUGGGAGGGAAAGGAGGAGGCCUGGGUUUUGGUGAUGGUGUGGGGGUUUUUUGUUUGUUUUGUUUCAUUUAUUCUGUUUUGGUUUCCUGCUCUGUUAAAUCCUGAGUACCCUUAAGAUAAGCAGCAGAAUCAUGUCAUCAGUCCAGGAUCAAGAAGAGACAAGCAGGAAAGGACAGGGAAACGGAUGAGAGUAGACACUGUCUUUCUUUCUGCUGCAAUGAAGCAUCAGAUUAAACAAGACUAAAUCAUGAUGAAGUUUUACUCCUCACUGAGUCAAAAUGUCAGUAAGCCCAUGGAAGACCGGAGCCAGCAUCAGGUAUGUUCAAAGCUGUGUGGUAAUCUCUGACUUAGCAAAUAGACUGUUGAAACAUCUUCCUGGCUGAAGUAGAGCAAAUAAUUUCUAAGAAAUUCAACCUUAAUAAAAUACAUAGAGGAAAUCCAUGAAACGUUAUGCUUCUCCAAAGCACAGAAAAAGACAGAGCUGCUUGGAGACAGAAAGCAUAUGCUGCACAAAAUACAGAAAGACCUUUUAGGUUUGAUCCUAAGCACCAGAUGACUACCCACAGAAGGGAUCAGCACCGCUAUUACCAAUUUGACUACAGAUUUGGCAUGACUCAAUUAUAACAAUAAUCAGGUAAGACAGCUGGAGUGUAGCUUCUUUACCUCUCCCCAGUUCUGUUUUCCUACAGUAAGUUUAUGUAUUUUCAUUAGAGCCUUGUCUAGCUUCAUUAGAGCGACAUUAUUUUAACUGCUGAUAUACUGCUACUUUCACAGUAGAGGAGGAAUUUAGAUACUAAAAAAAUGAAGGGCCAACUUAAUCUUAAAAUUUGAAGAAAAUAUAGAAUAAGUGAUAGAUUCUAGGGAACAGCUCUCCAUAUCCUUAUUCUAACUACUUCUUUUUAAUUUUAAACCUUCUCCCACUGUUCUAAGGCACAUACACAUAAAAUCACAUAUAUACAUAAGUACACGCACAAGCAUGCACACAGUUUUUAACCAUGUAACUGCAAGUACUUCAUAAAAUACUAUCCUAAUAUUUUGCCAUCUUCAGCUCAUAAGAGGAAAAACGCUCAAAUGGAGGUAAGCACAAUAUUUAUAUGCUUCCUGUCCCAUUAUGAUGAAAUAUUCAUGAACAAGGUAGUAAAAAGAUUUCCUAGCGCAGGUCAAUAUAUCUAUACUGAAGCUUCCUUUUAUUACCCUCUAACUUUCAAGUCCAGCUUAGAAAGCACAUUUUUCUGAACUAGAUCCAGUUUUUUACCUGGAAAUGAAAAGGAUCUGAGCUCUGCAUUAUAAGCUGCUAAAAUCAAAGGACAAGCUGUAUAAACUUACAAGCUCCACAGAUCCGUAAUGCUUUCUGCUAAACUCUCCACGUCUGCAACCCAGAUCUUCAGAGACAGAGCUGGAAUAGAAACACUUCAUAAGUGUACACAAGCAACUUGCCUUCCAUCUCCUGCAACGCUAUACCCUGCCAUUAACAAAUAUCAUUCCUGCAGAACAAGGUUUGCAGUGCAUAAACUCAUUACUGCAGGGAACACUCCUUACAAUGUGCACAACCUCCAGCAGCCAUUGCAGUCUGGCUUUCAUAUUAUCCCCAGAAGAAAAGAAAUGUCUGUCCUGACUGGAGGAAAAAGCCAAGAUUAAAUUCAAUAUUUAGUCAUAAUUUGAUUAGAGUUCCAAAGCAGAUGGUGGCUUAUAACCACAUUUGAAAUCUGCAUUUAAUCUAAGGGAAGCAGAACCAAUAAUAAACUUAAUGCCUCAAACAGGACAACUGCACUAUGCUCAAUAACCCCAUGCUUAGUACUUUGCUACUGUUUUCUUUUCCGAGUCUUUUUUUUGGACUACACACAAAGAUAAACUACACAACUACUUUAAUUCAAAAACAUAAGGAAAGCAUUUCAUAGGUUUCCCCCACCAAACUUAACAAAGAUAAAAUUGUCAGCAAGUAAAAGUAAUCCUACCAUAUGAAGUUCAAAAUCUACAUGCAUUAUCACAUAUAAUCUCAUACCUUCACAUGACAUUAAGGACAUCACUUCAUGAGGUCAAAACGGAUAGCAAACACCUCCUCUAACUAUAAACACUAAGCCUCCUGCCUUUGCAAUGGGCAUAUAUGUGUUACAACUACAAGCUGAAUAAAGAUUCAGAUGCAAAUUUAACAGAAACAAUUUAACAGAAACAAAAUGAGAAGAGAAACAGGAUUAAAAACUUAGAGAUAUAUAAAUUAAAAAUGGCCAGGCAGUUCCCAUGAGUAAGGCUACUUCAGGUUGCUCCCUGAAAAACAACAUGCCCCAAAGACGGAAUUUGCAAAGUUUGUGGCAUCUGCAUCACGUUUGUGACACUGAGGAUCUUCAGAGCCUUAUCAAUUGGAUAAAACAACCUUAACAGAGACCAGUGGAAGAAGCUAUUCUGAAGUCAGGAAGUCUGAGCAUCCAGAAGCAGGUUCAAAUCUUAAGUGAUCACACCACAAGGACUUCAUGUCCAGUACUUCUAUACACCAGCCACUACUGCUGCUGGGCCCUUGAGUGAACAUUACCAUGUAAUCAUGCCACGGUGUUGCACAGCUGUGACACUGUAGGUUUUCUAUUCUUUUUUAACUCUUACAGGAAAAUCAAGUAAUCGUGGUAGUGCCAGCUUUUUUUCUAUGUGCUACUUUUGUUCUACACAAUUCCUUUUUAUGGGUAGGUGUGCUAGUUACCUUAGAAACCACUGUUUAAGCAAUUCCAAUCAAUGAACACUUGUCACCCUCAGUACUGGUGGCAGAAUGCUAUGGAAACAGCAGUCAAGAGAGAUAUUGCUGAUGAUGUCUGAAAUUCAGCCUUUGAUCAAAUGAAGAAAUGGAUGUAAGAUGACAAUUUAAGGAGUGUGAAAGAAAAAGAAAAAUAUCAAAAUUUAAUAAUCCAACAACAGUCACUAGCACAACAAAUCUCCUCAGGCCUUGGGAAAGCCAGGUCACUGUUGCGUGUGUCUGUAUCUGGACAGCUCCACACACAAACAUAAAACAAGUUAGAAAGUCACCACAAAGAGCAUCUGGCCUGCUGUGUUUUGAACAGAACCAUCUCUGCCUGGAUAACUUUGAGAGACAUUAAUCAGUCAUGUGAUGGCUUCACAAAGCAGAAG